AACGAACGCUGGCGGCAUGCCUAACACAUGCAAGUCGAACGAGACCUUCGGGUCUAGUGGCGCACGGGUGCGUAACGCGUGGGAACCUGCCCUUAGGUUCGGAAUAACUCCCCGAAAGGGGUGCUAAUACCGGAUAAUGUCUUCGGACCAAAGAUUUAUCGCCUUUGGAUGGGCCCGCGUUGGAUUAGCUAGUUGUUAGGGUAAAAGCCUACCAAGGCGACGAUCCAUAGCUGGUCUGAGAGGAUGAUCAGCCACACUGGGACUGGGGCACAGCCCAAACUCCUACGGGAGGCAGCAGUGGGGAAGAUUAGACAAUGGGCGAAAGCCUGAUCCAGCAAUGCCGCGUGAGUGAUGAAGGCCUUAGGGUUGUAAAGCUCUUUUACCCGGGAUGAUAAUGACAGUACCGGGAGAAUAAGCUCCGGCUAACUCCGUG
rnacentral:rRNA from 1 species